rnacentral:rRNA from 1 species
ACCCUUAGAUGUUUUGGGCUACACGCGCGUUACACUGACAUAUUCAACAAGUUUUUUAAUAAAGGAAAAUAAAUAAAAUAAUAUUUAUUUUAUCUUAAACCUUGCCUGAUUAGGCUGGGUAAUCUUUUAAAUAUAUGUCGUGAUUGGGAUAGAUCAUUGUAAUUAUUGGUCUUGAACGAGGAAUCCCUAGUAAAUGCAAGUCAUCAACUUGCGUUGAUUACGUCCCUGCCCUUUGUACACACCGCCCGUCGCUCCUACCGAUGAAUGAUCCGGUGAGAACUCAGGAUAAUUGUAGUUUAAAUUGUAUAAUGCUAUAGUAUUAAAAUUUGUUCAAACCUUAUUAUUUAAAGGAAGGAGAAGUCGUAACA